AUGAGUCGCAUGUGCACUCCUGGGAAGGGCCUGUCUCAAUCGGCUCUGCCCUGUCACUGCAAGGUUCCCACUUGGCUGAAGCUGACAUCUGAUGACAUGAAGGAGCAGACUUACAAACUGACCAAGAAGGGUCUGCCUCCCUCACAAAUCAGUGUGAUCCUGAGGCUCAUAUGGUGUUGCACAAGUAUAUUUUUGUGACAGGCAAUACAAUCUUAAGAAUCCUUAAGUCCAAAAGACUUGCGCCUGAUCUCCCUGAGGAUCUCUACUGUUUAAUUAAGCAAGCAGUUGCUAUUCGAAAGCAUGCUGAGAGGAACAGAAAGGAUAAGGAUGCCAAAUUCCAUCUGAUUCUGAUAGAUGAAUUCACCGACUGGCUCAAUAUUAUUAAUACAAGACCAAGCAAAUCCUCCCACCCAACUGGAAACAUGAGUCAUCCACAGCCUCUGCCCUGGUUGCAUAA
rnacentral:lncRNA from 1 species